rnacentral:rRNA from 1 species
AACGAACGCUGGCGGCAUGCCUAACACAUGCAAGUCGAACGAGACCUUCGGGUCUAGUGCGCACGGGUGCGUAACGCGUGGGAAUCUGCCCUUCGGUUGGGAAUAACUGAGAGAAAUUUCAGCUAAUACCUUAUAAUGUCUUCGGACCAAAGAUUUAUCGCCGAGGGAUGAGCCCGCGUAGGAUUAGGUAGUUGGUGGGGUAAUGGCCUACCAAGCCGACGAUCCUUAGCUGGUCUGAGAGGAUGAUCAGCCACACUGGGACUGAGACACGGCCCAGACUCCUACGGGAGGCAGCAGUGGGGAAUAUUGGACAAUGGGCGAAAGCCUGAUCCAGCAAUGCCGCGUGAGUGAUGAAGGCCUUAGGGUUGUAAAGCUCUUUUACCCGGGAUGAUAAUGACAGUACCGGGAGAAUAAGCUCCGGCUAACUCCGUG